GCACAUACAAGGCUGUAACCACUGCUCCCGGGGUGGCUGAGACUGGCUGAUCUCUUGAGCAUGGAAGUUCUGAGCUGCAGUAAGCUAAGCAGCUCAAGUGUCCAUAUUAAGUCUAGCAUCAGUAUGGUGACCGCCUAAAGGUGGUGGUUCACCACAUUGUCUAAAGAGGAGCAAACCAGCUCAGUUUGGAAAUGGAGCAUGUCAAAGCUUCCAUGCUGUGUAUUGUUGGGAGUGUCCCUUGAAUAGCCACUACUGAGUGAGAUAGGGAUACUCAAUUUUA
rnacentral:SRP_RNA from 1 species